rnacentral:rRNA from 1 species
UACGAAGGUGGCAAGCGUUGUUCGGAUUUACUGGGCGUACAGGGAGCGUAGGCGGUUGAUAAGCCCUCCGUGAAAUCUCCAGGCUUAACCUGGAAAGUGCAGAGGGGGACUGUUCAGCUAGAGGAUGGGAGAGGAGCGCGGAAUUCCCGGUGUAGCGGUGAAAUGCGUAGAUAUCAGGAGGAACACCAGUGGCGAAGGCGGCGAUCUGGGAAGAUACUGACGCUGAGGUGCGAAAGCGUGGGGAGCAAACGG